AUGGCUCAGGAUGAACGCUAGCGGCAGGCUUAACACAUGCAAGUCGAGGGGCAUCGGGAGUAGCAAUACUUGCCGGCGACCGGCGCAAGGGUGCGUAACGCGUGAGCAACAUGCCCGUAUCAGGGGGAUAAUCCAUGGAAACGUGGUCUAAUACCCCAUAGUAAUUAUGUAAGGCAUCUUAUAUAAUUUAAAGCUUUGGUGGAUACGGAUUGGCUCGCGUGACAUUAGCUGGAUGGUAAGGUAACGGCUUACCAUGGCUACGAUGUCUAGGGGUUCUGAGAGGAAGGUCCCCCACACUGGAACUGAGACACGGUCCAGACUCCUACGGGAGGCAGCAGUGAGGAAUAUUGGACAAUGGAUGGAAAUCUGAUCCAGCCAUGCCGCGUGCAGGAAAGACGGCCCUAUGGGUUGUAAACUGCUUUUGUAUGGGAGCAAUAAGGGCUACGUGUAGUCCGAUGAGAGUACCAUACGAAUAAGCACCGGCUAACUCCGUGCCAGCCGCAGC
rnacentral:rRNA from 1 species